CUUGCUGCCACCAUGUAAGAAGCGCCUUUCGCCCACUGCCAUGAUUAUGAGAUCUCCCCAGCCAUGUGGAACUGCUUCUACACAUCCUGUGAAGACAUCUACACAGACCAAAAGGUAUUUUUACCUGCAGAAUGUGGGGAGCUGAAUGGAGUCCAUCUGCCACUCCUCCCCAGGAAUGGAUGCUCCACGAGGGCAGGCACAAUAUUAUUUCUUCACUGUUAGCACCAAUAAACAGUUGCCCAGCAACUGACACACAUUAAAUUCUCAAUGUAUAGUUUUUGACAAAAUUAACACUAUGAUAAAUGUUUAUGCUCCUGCUCAAACUUGGAUUUGGCCUUAAGAUGUACUACAGCCCACUAAGCAAGGAAAAAGAGACAUGUUGAAAGCCGAGGUGCCUAUUAUGAAGAGGAAGCUUUGACAUGUUUCUAAGAUUUUUUUAUUCCUAUCAUCAUCUUUUCUUGUGCCAAGAAACAUUGUGAAGAACUGUGUAAAGGAUGAAAAAUUUGCCUUUUAUUGCCUAUGAACUAUUUAAAGAUUCUUUAACUUGUAGAAAACAGGUAAUAAUGCAAAUAAAUUGGGUUCAGUGGACUAAAAUUUAUCAUUUCCCUAUGCAUAUGGGCCAGGUUUACAUCUACUUAUAAAUGCAUUUAUUAUUUCUGAUUGCCUACCUUAAAAUAUCUUUCAGAUUGAACUAAAUGAAAGAUAAAAAAGAGUAUGUUAUAAAAAAUAUUUUUUCUGAACGCCACAUGAUGCUGAUUAAAAAAAAAAACACAUGAAUUUGACACAGUAAGCAUCCUCCUGUCAUUCUCAGCUUGUUCCUUAUAAUCACCUUCUUUAUCUAAUAACAGCAGGCUGGAACACGUUUUUUAAUGACAACAUGGUAUUUAAUCUUUCAUUUUUAAAAGGAACAUUAAUUAUGCAGUUUCAUAAAAAAUAAACGAAGGUGAAGAUGUAUGCCAACAUCAAUUUACAGCAUUCUUUUGUUUAAUUAAUAUUAUUUCAUGUUUUAAUUUGAAGUGGGUUUUGCUCAUCAACAUGAAAUGUUUAAUUUAUAUGAAACUUCAUUCAGAAGACUGCCUCCGGAGAAAUAACAAUUUAUUCCAGGCUAUGUACACACAUUUUCAAUAAAAUAUUCAGUUCACGGGGGAUUUUGUUGCAAGCAUCAUUCACAGUUAACUUGAGCUCUCAACGAUCCAGGCUAAUUCUAGAUAAAUACAUUACUUGGUAAUUUAUAGAAUAUGCAAAUAGAGUGAUUUUCAGCCUUUGAUUGUCUCCAGUUCCUACCAAUUUAAUUUCCCUACAUUUGUCAAAUCCACGGUCCAACUGAUUUGAACUGGCAACAUCCUUAUUCAAGGUUCUUAUUGUCCUUAUUCAGAUCGUAACAGUAAUCUCCGAAGCUGGUCUCCCCAGUUCUUUUUACAUCAUCCGCAAUACAGUCAGAGUAACCACUUCAUUUAACCCAGAACCUUCUACAUUCUCUUAUAAUUCCUUUUUUUUUUUUUUACUUUUAGAGAGCACAAACUAUGCAAUAUUAAUAUUCUACUUAAAUAUUUAAAUGAGCCCUCUUGUCAC
rnacentral:lncRNA from 10 species